rnacentral:rRNA from 1 species
UGAGGAAUAUUGGACAAUGGAGGAAACUCUGAUCCAGCCAUGCCGCGUGAGUGAAGAAGGCCUUAGGGUUGUAAAGCUCUUUCAAUUGUGAAGAUAAUGACGGUAGCAAUAGAAGAAGCUCCGGCUAAAUUCGUGCCAGCAGCCGCGGUAAUACGAAUGGAGCAAGCGUUGUUCGGAAUCACUGGGCUUAAAGCGUAUGUAGGCGGAGCAGUAAGUCAGAAGUGAAAGCCUGGGGCUCAACCCCAGAACUGCUUUUGAAACUACUGUUCUAGAAUCCUGGAGAGGUUGGGAGAAUUCCGAGUGUAGAGGUGAAAUUCGCAGAUAUUCGGAGGAAUACCAGUGGCGUAGGCGCCCAACUGGACAGGUAUUGACGCUCAGAUACGAAAGCGUGGGGAGCAAACAGG